UUUUCAUUCAUGACUUUAGAGAAACUCAGAUCUCAUCAUGAUGAUUAGAUUUCUCUUUUGCUCUUUCCUCACAGCAGGUAUUUCUCUGGGACUUCAGGUCCACCAGUCUCCCUCCGCUCUCAUCAGAAAGGCUGGUGACGCUGUGCAGCUCGUCUGUACCCACGGACAGACCGACUACACAGGGAUGCUGUGGUACCAGCAGUCACCCACAGACCAGGCUCUAAAACUCAUCGGAUAUGUGGCUUUACUUAAUUUUGCUGCCAAACCAACCAACCAGCUGACAGCAGUGAAAACAUAACCUCUUUUGUGGAGCAGAGACUGGAGCUGGUUCUUCAUAUUCAACAUGACGCCACCUCGUCUCAUCACAUCCAUCAUCACUGUGUUCUGGAUUAAGGGUGUUUACCUCAGUAAUGAAAAACCAGUGUUUCAGACUCCAGUCGACCUGUUGAUGAAACCAAAUGGUGAAGUCAACAUGAGAUUAACACAUCAAAUCCCGAACUAUAACACGAUUCUCUGGUACCAGCGCUCAGCAGGAGACAGUUCCCUGAAGCUGAUUGGCUAUGUUAAUUUUGAAUCACCCAGUAUUGAGCCAAAUUUUACGAGCCGCUUCAAUGUGAGUGGAAAUGGAAAGAAAACAGCUUUUCUUCAAAUCAAGAACCUGAAGCACCCUGAGGACAGCGGAGAAUAUUUUGGAGCAGCAACAAUACACAGUAAUAAAGAUGGAGAGAGCCGUCGUUCAAAAACCUCCAUAAAUGAUGCAGCAGAUAACAGCACGAAAAACCACGACACAGCUUCAAAGCUGAGAGAAACACAGCGGAUCAGACUCCAGAAAACACACAAGAAACAAUUAAGUUGUUUUGUUAAUACAUGUUCUUUAUAUUUGCUUGUAUUUGUUUUCUAAUAAAGUUUAUAAUUAUAUCAUUCGAAUAUAAUCGAAGUCCCCACGAAUGAGGUCAGACGAGGUUGAACACUUAACGUUGCUCCAAAGAGGAGAUAACAUGGAUAUAUGAGAGGAGAUGGAUUUGAAUGUGGUGGACAAAAAUAAAAGGAAUAUCUGUCAACAUAACAGAAUUCAGGUUAACAGCACCACCAACUACAAAGUUCUGACUUUUACAUCCUCCUCUAGGUGGCAC